GGAUGUGAUCAUACCAGCACUAAAGCACCGGAUCCCAUCAGAACUCCGAAGUUAAGCGUGCUUGGGCGAGAGUAGUACUAGGAUGGGUGACCUCCUGGGAAGUCCUCGUGUUGCAUUCU
rnacentral:rRNA from 1 species